rnacentral:rRNA from 2 species
GGUUAAGCGACUAAGCGUACACGGUGGAUGCCCUGGCAGUCAGAGGCGAUGAAGGGCGUGCUAAUCUGCGAUAAGCGCCGGUAAGGUGAUAUGAACCAUUAUAACCGGCGAUACCCGAAUGGGGAAACCCAGUGUGACUCGUCACACUAUCAUUAACUGAAUCCAUAGGUUAAUGAGGCGAACCGGGGGAACUGAAACAUCUAAGUACCCCGAGGAAAAGAAAUCAACCGAGAUUCCCCCAGUAGCGGCGAGCGAACGGGGAGGAGCCCAGAGCCUGAAUCAGCAUGUGUGUUAGUGGAAGCGUCUGGAAAGGCGCGCGAUACAGGGUGACAGCCCCGUACACAAAAGCGCAUGUGCUGUGAGCUCGAUGAGUAGGGCGGGACACGUGGUAUCCUGUCUGAAUAUGGGGGGACCAUCCUCCAAGGCUAAAUACUCCUGACUGACCGAUAGUGAACCAGUACCGUGAGGGAAAGGCGAAAAGAACCCCGGCGAGGGGAGUGAAAAAGAACCUGAAACCGUGUACGUACAAGCAGUGGGAGCACAGGUUUACCUGUGUGACUGCGUACCUUUUGUAUAAUGGGUCAGCGACUUAUAUUCUGUAGCAAGGUUAACCGUAUAGGGGAGCCGUAGGGAAACCGAGUCUUAACCGGGCGUUAAGUUGCAGGGUAUAGACCCGAAACCCGGUGAUCUAGCCAUGGGCAGGUUGAAGGUUGGGUAACACUAACUGGAGGACCGAACCGACUAAUGUUGAAAAAUUAGCGGAUGACCUGUGGCUGGGGGUGAAAGGCCAAUCAAACCGGGAGAUAGCUGGUUCUCCCCGAAAGCUAUUUAGGUAGCGCCUCGUGAAUUCAUCUCCGGGGGUAGAGCACUGUUUCGGCUAGGGGGCCAUCCCGGCUUACCAACCCGAUGCAAACUGCGAAUACCGGAGAAUGUUAUCACGGGAGACACACGGCGGGUGCUAACGUCCGUCGUGAAGAGGGAAACAACCCAGACCGCCAGCUAAGGUCCCAAAGUCAUGGUUAAGUGGGAAACGAUGUGGGAAGGCCCAGACAGCCAGGAUGUUGGCUUAGAAGCAGCCAUCAUUUAAAGAAAGCGUAAUAGCUCACUGGUCGAGUCGGCCUGCGCGGAAGAUGUAACGGGGCUAAACCAUGCACCGAAGCUGCGGCAGCGACGCUGAUGCGUUGUUGGGUAGGGGAGCGUUCUGUAAGCCUGUGAAGGUGGCCUGUGAGGGUUGCUGGAGGUAUCAGAAGUGCGAAUGCUGACAUAAGUAACGAUAAAGCGGGUGAAAAGCCCGCUCGCCGGAAGACCAAGGGUUCCUGUCCAACGUUAAUCGGGGCAGGGUGAGUCGACCCCUAAGGCGAGGCCGAAAGGCGUAGUCGAUGGGAAACGGGUUAAUAUUCCCGUACUUGGUGUUACUGCGAAGGGGGGACGGAGAAGGCUAUGUUGGCCGGGCGACGGUUGUCCCGGUUUAAGCGUGUAGGUGUGUGUUCCAGGUAAAUCCGGUUCACUUUAACACUGAGGCGUGAUGACGAGGCACUACGGUGCUGAAGCAACAAAUGCCCUGCUUCCAGGAAAAGUCUCUAAGCAUCAGGUAACAUCAAAUCGUACCCCAAACCGACACAGGUGGUCAGGUAGAGAAUACCAAGGCGCUUGAGAGAACUCGGGUGAAGGAACUAGGCAAAAUGGUGCCGUAACUUCGGGAGAAGGCACGCUGACACGUAGGUGAAGUGAUUUACUCAUGGAGCUGAAGUCAGUCGAAGAUACCAGCUGGCUGCAACUGUUUAUUAAAAACACAGCACUGUGCAAACACGAAAGUGGACGUAUACGGUGUGACGCCUGCCCGGUGCCGGAAGGUUAAUUGAUGGGGUCAGCGCAAGCGAAGCUCCUGAUCGAAGCCCCGGUAAACGGCGGCCGUAACUAUAACGGUCCUAAGGUAGCGAAAUUCCUUGUCGGGUAAGUUCCGACCUGCACGAAUGGCGUAAUGAUGGCCAGGCUGUCUCCACCCGAGACUCAGUGAAAUUGAACUCGCUGUGAAGAUGCAGUGUACCCGCGGCAAGACGGAAAGACCCCGUGAACCUUUACUAUAGCUUGACACUGAACAUUGAGCCUUGAUGUGUAGGAUAGGUGGGAGGCUUUGAAGCGUGGACGCCAGUCUGCAUGGAGCCGGCCUUGAAAUACCACCCUUUAAUGUUUGAUGUUCUAACGUGGACCCGUGAUCCGGGUUGCGGACAGUGUCUGGUGGGUAGUUUGACUGGGGCGGUCUCCUCCUAAAGAGUAACGGAGGAGCACGAAGGUUGGCUAAUCCUGGUCGGACAUCAGGAGGUUAGUGCAAUGGCAUAAGCCAGCUUGACUGCGAGCGUGACGGCGCGAGCAGGUGCGAAAGCAGGUCAUAGUGAUCCGGUGGUUCUGAAUGGAAGGGCCAUCGCUCAACGGAUAAAAGGUACUCCGGGGAUAACAGGCUGAUACCGCCCAAGAGUUCAUAUCGACGGCGGUGUUUGGCACCUCGAUGUCGGCUCAUCACAUCCUGGGGCUGAAGUAGGUCCCAAGGGUAUGGCUGUUCGCCAUUUAAAGUGGUACGCGAGCUGGGUUUAGAACGUCGUGAGACAGUUCGGUCCCUAUCUGCCGUGGGCGCUGGAGAACUGAGGGGGGCUGCUCCUAGUACGAGAGGACCGGAGUGGACGCAUCACUGGUGUUCGGGUUGUCAUGCCAAUGGCACUGCCCGGUAGCUAAAUGCGGAAGAGAUAAGUGCUGAAAGCAUCUAAGCACGAAACUUGCCCCGAGAUGAGUUCUCCCUGAGACUUAGAGUCUCCUGAAGGAACGUUGAAGACGACGACGUUGAUAGGCCGGGUGUGUAAGCGCAGCGAUGCGUUGAGCUAACCGGUACUAAUGAACCGUGAGGCUUAACCUU